AUGUCCCGGGAUCGCCCCCCGUCAGCGCAUCGCGCCCACGGGGGCAUGUGUC
rnacentral:sRNA from 1 species